rnacentral:tRNA from 3 species
GCGAGUGUAGCUCAGUGGUAGAGCGUAACCUUGCCAAGGUUGAUGUCGCGCGUUCGAAUCGCGUCACUCGCU